ensembl:lncRNA
GGGGUACCGGUACAGAGUCAAUGUGGAGGCUAUAUACAGGGGGUUACGGUACAGAGUCAAUGUGGAGGCUAUAUACAGGGGGUUACGGUACAGAGUCAAUGUGGAGGCUAUAUACAGGGGGUAUCGGUACAGAGUCAAUGUGGAGGCUAUAUACAGGGGGUUACGGUACAGAGUCAAUGUGGAGGCUAUAUACAGGGGGUACCAGUACAGAGUCAAUGUGGAGGCUAUAUACAGGGGUUACGGUACAGAGUCAAUGUGGAGGCUAUAUACAGGGGGUACCAGUACAGAGUCAAUGUGGAGGCUAUAUACAGGGGGUUACGGUACAGAGUCAAUGUGGAGGCUAUAUACAGGGGGUUACGGUACAGAGUCAAUAUGGAGGCUAUAUACAGGGUGUUACGGUACAGAGUCAAUGUGGAGGCUAUAUACAGGGGGUACCGGUUCAGAGUCAAUGUGGAGGCUAUAUACAGGGGGUACCGGUACAGAGUCAAUGUGGAGGCUAUAUACAGGGGGUACCUGUACGGAGUCAAUGUGGAGGCUAUAUAGAGGGGGUACCGCUACAGAGUCAAUGUGGAGGCUAUAUACAGGAGGUACCGGUACGGAGUCAAUGUGGAGGCUAUAUACAGGGGGUACCGGUACAGAGUCAAUGUGGAGGCUAUAUACAGGAGGUACCGGUACGGAGUCAAUGUGGAGGCUAUAUACAGGGGGUACCGGUACAGAGUCAAUGUGGAGGCUAUAUACAGGAGGUAC